GACACUUUGGCCGAGUGGUUAAGGCGACACCCUGCUAUCUAGUCAUAGGUGUUGGGCUCUGCCCGCGUGUGUUCGAAUCGCACAGGUGUCG